rnacentral:rRNA from 1 species
UGGGGAAUAUUGCACAAUGGGCGGAAGCCUGAUGCAGCAACGCCGCGUGAGGGAUGACGGCCUUCGGGUUGUAAACCUCUUUUAGCAAGGAAGAAGCGAAAGUGACGGUACUUGCAGAAAAAGCGCCGGCUAACUACGUGCUAGCAGCCGCGGUAAUACGUAGGGCGCAGGCGUUAUCCGGAAUUAUUGGGCGUAAAGAGCUCGUAGGCGGUUUGUCGCGUCUGCUGUGAAAACCCGAGGCUCAACCUCGGGCCUGCAGUGGGUACGGGCAGACUAGAGUGCGGUAGGGGAGAUUGGAAUUCCUGGUGUAGCGGUGGAAUGCGCAGAUAUCAGGAGGAACACCGAUGGCGAAGGCAGAUCUCUGGGCCGUAACUGACGCUGAGGAGCGAAAGGGUGGGGAGCAAACAGGCUUAGAUACCCUGGUAGUCCACCCCGUAAACGUUGGGAACUAGUUGUGGGGUCCAUUCCACGGAUUCCGUGACGCAGCUAACGCAUUAAGUUCCCCGCCU